rnacentral:lncRNA from 1 species
GAAGGACUUGCCUACAAGGCAGACAUAGAAAAUGAAGUUCCUCUGGGGAAGAGCCGAUGCCUUUCAUGAAUGCAGGCAUAGGAACGUACAGCAGAGUAACAGAGGUCUAAGCCUGGCCUCAGUUUUCUUCCCUGCCAGUUGGCUGUGCAGACCGUGGGUUCUACAUGCAGCCUUUCUCUGAAUGCCUGGCAUUUUAUUGAACAAUGGUAAUGAUGACAAAAUGAAGAAAACAAACCAGUACUCUCCAAAGCUCAAGGACAUUAAAUAGCCAGCACAGUUUGAGAGUGCUUGAGAAAAUAAAAGGAAUAAUGAAUUGUGG